rnacentral:rRNA from 1 species
AGGCAUGUGGUUUAAUUUCGAUGCAACGCGAGAACCUUACCUACUCUUGACAUCCAGAGAACUUUCCAGAGAUGGAUUGGUGCCUUCGGGAACUCUGAGACAGGUGCUGCAUGGCUGUCGUCAGCUCGUGUUGUGAAAUGUGGUUAAGUCCCGCAACGAGCGCACCUUAUCCUUGUUGCCAGCGGUUAGGCCGGGAACUCAAAGGAGACUGCCAGUGAUAAACUGGAGGAAGGUGGGGAUGACGUCAAGUCAUCAUGGCCCUUACGAGUAGGGCUACACACGUGCUACAAUGGCAUAUACAAAGAGAAGCGACCUCGCGAGAGCAAGCGGACCUCAUAAAGUAUGUCGUAGUCCGGAUUGGAGUCUGCAACUCGACUCCAUGAAGUCGGAAUCGCUAGUAAUCGUGGAUCAGAAUGCCACGGUGAAUACGUUCCCGGGCCUU